AGAUUGAACGCUGGCGGCAGGCCUAACACAUGCAAGUCGAGCGGCAGCACGGGUACUUGUACCUGGUGGCGAGCGGCGGACGGGUGAGUAAUGCCUAGGAAUCUGCCUGAUAGUGGGGGAUAACGCUCGGAAACGGACGCUAAUACCGCAUACGUCCUACGGGAGAAAGCAGGGGACCUUCGGGCCUUGCGCUAUCAGAUGAGCCUAGGUCGGAUUAGCUAGUUGGUGGGUAAUGGCUCACCAAGGCGACGAUCCGUAACUGGUCUGAGAGGAUGAUCAGUCACACUGGAACUGAGACACGGUCCAGACUCCUACGGGAGCAGCAGUGGGAAUAUUGGACAAGUGGGACGAAAGCCUGAUCCAGCCAUGCCGCGUGUGUGAAGAAGGUCUUCGGAUUGAAAGCACUUUAAGUGGAGGAAGGCUAGUUACCUAUACGUAUCUGUUUGACGUUACCGACAGAAUAAGCACCGCUAAC
rnacentral:rRNA from 1 species